AUGCCAUCUGAGACUCACAUGAGACCUUUGUCCAUGUCCCUCUAUAAAUGUGCCUUUACAACAUGCCAUGGUCCACCCCACUCCCAACCAUUAUUUUCCGAGCUCAUUGGCCAAGGAUGGGUGAGAGGGAGACGGGAGCGGAAAGGCCCUCGGGAGGAUUCAUUCCUGCGGCAUCUGGAUACAGAUCAGAUCUCCUACUUCCAUAACAUGCACGUUUCAUUUAGAUACACAGGGGGGCCCGCAGCGGCGGCGUGGAGCCCGCAGGAGAACAGCGCAUGGGGGAAGGAUGAAGCUGACUGGCGGAGGAGCAUCCUGCCUGCUGACGCAUCGGUGGAUUUUUGCUUCUGGUCAUUAUUUCGGCUCCUGGACUCUGGUGCCACGAGAGGCCCCUUUAUCAACAGCAGGAGUCCUGCUGUCCAGCAGACCUCUUCCAGAACCUUCCGGAUAUGGUUCGCCCUUGUCAAGCAAGGGGCUUUCUGAGUUCAGAGGCAGAGGCAGUCGGCUGGGACGUCAGGAAUUCACGGGCAUGGCCGGCAGCUGCUGCAUGCAAUGAAGCUUGUAGACACAGGGAGCGGAAAUGUAGACUCGUUAAAGUUACCGUGGAGGAUCGCUCCGAAAUUCAUUCUGAUAGCUUUUCCUGAAGUCUAAAUGCCACCACAUAUGAUGCUGCAAUACGUUCUUUCCUUUCUCUCUCACACGCAGGGGUUCCCUUGUGUUAAGUCCUAGAGCACAUUAUCUGUCUUCAUCUAUGAGGCGGUCACUUUAUCACGGUCUUCAGGGAUUACACAAUCUGAGGUUGUGUGGUUUCCCGUGUCUCACUCUCUAGAAGGAACUAGUCAUUUGAGUUUUUAAGAUUUCUCAUAUCUUUCCAGACCCCUUGUGCUCCAGCAUCUCAUUCAAAGAGAGAAACAGUUAUAUUGUCCUCAUUCUUGGUGCCUAACUAAAUUACAAAUGAUUGAAAAAAGAUGGCUAGACUUAUCUUGUUAUUUGGAAAAAAAUCUCUCUCAUACCCCCAAAUAAAUGUUUUUUAUAUUGUCAAAUGGUCUUUUUUAAAAAAAAAAAAAAAGAAAGCAAAAACUUUCAUCAUAUUUCUCUAAGUAGGAUUGAGGAAACCAUAUAUUUAGGGAUCCGAAGUAGCCUUGGGCCCCAAAUCUGUGGUAUCUGUUCCUUUGAAAAGUCCAUCAUGAUGAUUCCCUACUUGACUUUUCCUUCUAGUAUAAAAAUAAACAAGGAGAUGGAGUUCCCGUCGUGGCUCAGUGGUUAAUGAAUCCGACUAGGAACCAUGAGGUGGAGGGUUCGGUCCCUUACCUCGCUCAGCGGGUUAAGGAUCCGGUGUUUCCGUGAGCUGUGGUGUAGGCUGCAGACUCGGCUUGGAUCCUGAGUUGCUGUGGCUGUGGCGUAGGCCAGUGGCUACAGCUCCGAUUAGACCCCUAGCCUGGGAACCUCCAUAGGCCAUGGGAGCAGCCCAAGAAAUGGCAAAAAGGAAAAAUAAAUAAGUAAAUAAAUAAACAAGGAGAAAGAUUAACGUAGUUCUUAUUCAUACAUUGUGUUCCAUUUCCAUGUUUUAAAUUGAAAUAAAAUUGAGGCAAUAUCAUAUAUGUCACAAUUAAAAUGGAAAAAUUAAAAUUUGACAACCAAAAAACACUGUUCUAGAAGCUUGACUUGGCAACAUAUUAUGUGAUCUUCAAUAAGUUUUUUUAACCUUCAGGGCUUUAAUUUAUUCUGACAAAUAAAUGAUUGGACUAGAAAAUCUUUUUUUUUUUUUUUUUUUUUUUUUUNNNNNNNCUGCAGCAUAUGAAGGAUCCCAGGCUAGGGGUUGAAUCGGAGCUGUAGCUGCCAGCCUACACCAGAGCCACAGCAACGUGGGAUCUGAGCCGCGUCUGCUACCUACACCACAGCUCAUGGCAAUGCCAGAUCCUUAACCCACUGAGUGAGGCCAGGGUUCGAACCCGCAACCUCAUGGUUCCUAGUCGGUUUCAUUAACCACUGCACCACGACAGAAACUCCAGAACAAACGUUUAAUGGUUCAUCAGUAGUCCACUUUUCCACUCUCCCCUAAUGACAUUGUAUAAUGAAAACUCAACCGCAAAACUUUUGGGGUACCAGUGGCCACGUUGCAAGGAGAAAAUGAAAGUAUUUACUUACCCCCCCCAAAUAUAUCAGUGAUAAUUUGCCUAAGCUGUUUAGAGACUCUUAACAAGUACAGUUACUCCAUGGUGGUAACAAAAAGAGAUAAUCUGACAGAUAACACCAAUGUAAAAAACACGGCUCUGAACUUCGGUGCAUUCAGAGAUGAUGUUCAAUUUCCUGUGGAGCCCUUGAUGUAAACUUUCCCACUAAAACAUUCCUCUAACUUGGUCAUAACUUAUGUUUCAAACUAAAAUUUUGUUUUCCAGUCAAGAUAGCCGUUGUAUGUCUUUACCUAGGUAAUUAGGGCUCGUGUCAGUAUUUUGGAGGGGUGCAAGUUACAGGUAAACUUGGUGUAAAUCUUCAUGAUAUAGUCUCCAAUCGAGCCUGCUCUGAAGUCUUUUAUGAGGUCAAGGCUCUUCUGUCUGUAUCCAUACAAUGCUGAAACCACCAAUCAAUUCAAUGAAAACAAUCAGCCAAUUUCAGUUGUACGCUAGUGAUAUAUACCCCUGGUAUUGGGCAUAAUGUAAAGACAGAAAGAUUACCCAUGUUUUCAAUUACUUGAGAAAUAUUAUGGUUUUACAAAAUAAAUAACAUUUUGGAAGAAAUUUUAUGAACUUGUGCCAUUGUCUGUGCUAUAAUAUUCCAGUUUAUAUCAGUUUUAGUGUGUUCACUUGGAUAAAAAUUUUCUAAAUUUCACAUAUCAACUAUUUGUAUAUUGCCAUCCUAAAACAUAAUAAAACACCGAAAAAACUGCUUCUGUAAUAUAAAGUUUUGUGUAAAUUUUAUAAAUCUGUGUCAUAGGGCACAUAUCUUAUAAACAUGGGGAUUGUAGGAAGUAUGGCAGGUUAAGGAUCUGGUGUUGCCACAACUGUGGCUCCAGCUCUACCUCGGUGUGGGUUUGAAUCAUGGUCCAGGUACUUCCACAAGUCCCGUGUAUGGCCAAAAAAAAAAAAAAAAAAAAAAAAAAUUGUACCUGGCCCACAUCAAUGUAGUAAAAGCAUCUCUAAAUAACUGUAGAUUACUCAGAAAAAAAUUAAUGUGGUAUUAUAAUAAUACCUGCUUUCUUUCUNUUUUUUUUGCUUUUUAGGGCCAUACCCACAACAUAUGGAGGUUCCCAGGCUAGGGGUCGAAUCGGAGCCACAGCUGCCAGCCUACCCAACAGCCACAGCAAUGCAGGGUCCAAGCUGCAUCUUCGACCUACACCACAGCUCACGGCAAUGCCGGAUCCUUAACCCCCUGAGCAAGGCCAGGGAUCGAACCCACACCCUCGUGGAUACUAGUCGGAUUCGUUACUGCUGGGCCACAAUGGGAACUCCAAUAUCUGCUUUCUUGACUAAAAAAAUAAGAAGUUUUGGAGUUCCCAUUGUGGCUCAGGAGUAACGAAUCCGACUAGUAUCCACGAGGGUGUGGGUUUGAUCCCUGGC
rnacentral:lncRNA from 1 species